rnacentral:lncRNA from 1 species
AUAUAAUUAAUGUGACAGUAAUUCCUCACUUUGUCAUAAUCUGUUUGCUACAGACACAAAGUACUGUGAAUAUGUCUUAAAGAUAAUACAGCUGAGCUAAAAGAAUAAGUAAUGAUGAAGCAGUAUUUAUAUAAUUUUCAAAUUAUAAGCAGAAUAAAUAAUAAAUCUGAAAUUCAUCUUAAGGAAACCAAUACCAAAAAAUAUUUAUACAUGCUAUGUGAAAAAAUAGAUUGCUCACAAAGAAGCACCAAGUAUACCUUAGCAACAGUUGAGCCUAAAAGAUAACAGAGUGACAUCUUCCAAAAGCCAAGGAGAAAUAACUGCCAACUUAGAAUGUUAUGUUUAGUUAAAACUAACAUCAGGUAUGAGAUAAAAAUAAAGACAUUUACAUAUAUACAAAGACUUAAGAAAGUUUAUGCCUCAUAAACCCAUUCUUAGAGACAUAUUAACAACUUGGAGGGAAAAUGUGAUACAUAUAAAAUAGUGGUGAGCCAAAAAAAAUGAGAAAAUGUCAUUAAAUUUGUUAGCCAUUGCAUAUAAAAAUAAUGAUGUUGACAACUAACUUAUUAUAUUAAAAUGAGAAAGGUCAAAAAAGAAGACUCCUGACAGUUGAGGAGAAGGUGAUAUGUCUUUGUUCAAGGAGUAAAGUAUACUAAGUUACAUGUUU